GAUGCAACCGGUGGUGAACGACGUCUUGAACAAGCCGAAGUUGAAUUUCUUCUUUGAUAAUGGGACCUGGACCAAAGCUGCAACGACGUUUCCACUGUAGAGCAUCGCGACCCGGUAAACGCAAAGACCUGAAAAUGCUGUGUAUGUAGAGUAGAACG
rnacentral:rRNA from 15 species